GCUCUCCCCGCACUUCCUGUGUCAGCUGGAGGGUCCAGCCGUAAGGACCACCCCUUCCCCUCCCGCCAACCUUCAGGCAGGGUGCCGGGUGCCACCUGAGCCUUGGGUCUUAGCUCUUGAGACCAAGGCUGGAGGUGGGUGGUGCGGCUGGUAUCACAGCAUCUGUUGCCCUGUCCUGGAGCUAGGGCUCAGCCUCCACCCAGGGUCUUCGGAAUCACUGAGAAGUCACAUCAAAUUCAAAUAGCAGGCUCCCAAAGCUUAUUGCACACAAGAGCAAGCAUUUCGGAUACCAGACACAUAGGAAUGGAAUGAAGCAUAUACCCUUUACGAUCUGGGAUGGAAAUGGAGGACUUAAGAACACAGGAGGUAUUACACAACAACAGUGCUACUAUGGAUAAGAGGCACGAAGAGUGAUGAACUUUGGGAUUAAAAAAAAGUCUAUAAGUUUGAGUCUUCAAGCUUUUUUAAGAAUUCUAUAAAUGAAUGAAGAGCAAGAGCAGUCCAUGAGACAGCUUAUGCUGGCACAGUUUUGUAAUCCCAGCACUAAGGAGACUGAAGAAGGAGGGUCAAGAGUUCAAGACCACUCUGGGCUAUGUGAGACACGUUCUCAAAAAAGGGGAGGGGUACUCCACAAGAACAGAUACAGAGGUGUGAAAUGGGUUAUAAGUAUUUGUAGAAUGGGAAGGUAAAAAUGUCAAUAAAAUUUAGUUGCUAAUUUUAAAUUUGCAAAUAUAUGUACUAACUUCUAAAAACGGUUGUAAAAGAAAUAUUAUUCUUUAUUGUUUGGCUUUCAAGCAAGAAAGGAGGAAAUCAGCGCCCAGAAAUCCUCAUCAAUAAUACUGCCAGUUUUAGGGUUUCUUAUGCAAUUCGAGUUCUAAAGUGACACAGACUUUUGCUAUAUAAAAAUAAAUUUGCUGCAACAAUCUCAUAAUAGGUGAGAGAUAAGAUACUUUAUUUACCUGAAGUAAAUUAACUUCUGUAGUUUGUACAAGGCCAAGCAAUUGUCAGUGUAAAACAGCUCUGAAAGUCGCACAAUUCAUUAAGUAGUAAGAAGUUAAAUUAUGUUCAUGGCCAACAAAACAAACAAACAAACAAACAAACAAAAAACCAAGUCUCUAAUUCAUUCUGUAGCUUACUAGCUAUAACGGCUGACUUAAAGAGCAGCCACACUUGCCAGAUGAAGCUUUCAUGUUAGUGAGCUCUACAUGCUCUUUAAGAUACAUUAAAACAGUAUGCUAUUUUUGUUUUUAAUAAAAGCAAUGUUUGAUGCUGGGCACGGUAGAACAUGCAUUUACUCCCAGCACUGGGAGGCAGAGGCAGGCAGAUCUCUGUGAGUUUGAGGCCAGCCUGGUCUAAAUAGCAAGUUCCAGGACAACAAAGACUACAUAGAGAUACCUUGUCUCAAAAAAAAAAAAACAAUAAAGUAAAAUAAAAUAAAAGUAAUGCUUUAAAAGUUCUGUUUCUCCCCCCCAACCUCAUGACAUGCAUUACUUGCUGUGAAUGGAUGAAAGGAAACAAGGGAGAAGCAGAAAGCAGUUUCAUGAGACGCUGGUAC